ACUUAAUAAGCAAACGAAACAAUAUAGACGGCACACUCGAUGUAAGAUUCACAUGGAAACUGAAAAAACACUUGUCCCAAAACCAUAAGUCUACCGGUCCGUCUUACAUUAGAAUUACAGUUCCGUAUAUACAGAUAUUCACAACUUAUUUUUUUACAUUACAUAUAAAGGGGAGAACUGCAAUCGAUCUCUGAAGAUGUUGACCACAUUGGCUCCGAUGAAUGGCUUCUAUAUACAUAAGUAGUCUCUUUGCUCAAACAAUUAACCACACCUUCUAUAUCCAGUUUCUCUUGGAUCGCAAUUGAGUAAGCUUGUCCCUCCACAGAGCUGCAUCUCUGUAUCGUUCUUCAACCGCCGCAAUCAGCAUAUUUCGCACAAGAAUAAACUCCUUUGUUUCAAUGCAUGGCUUGCCAUUAGGCCUGUCAAGCUCGGUGAACAAGAGACCAUCUGAACCAGUAGUGUGCACUAUUGACUUCGGAGAUUCAACAAUUCUCAUACCAUCACUAUAAGCCAAGUACUUGUUGACUUGUAUUGGCACCUUGCUUCUCACAGCAAUGUUGAUUGCAUCAGACGGACGAAGAUCAAAGCUAAUACUCUCGGCAUCAUUGUCGGACUUUGUUAAAUAUAACUGAGCAUAAUAAGCCUC
rnacentral:misc_RNA from 1 species